GUAGCCAAGUAGGACGCGAGGUCCCGAGGCCAGCAUGGGGUGACUGACGAUGGCACACUGAAACAUCGAUAGCGUCUCAACAUCAUUAGCAGUAUAAACUUUAAAACCGAGCUUGCUCUCCCAUUAGAGCUGCUGUAUCGAACCCUUUGGUGUAAUGCAGCUGGCUGUCAUGAUGUUGGGCGCCUGUCACUUGGUCCUGGCCUGAAAUCUGGGCAGAUUAAAGAGCUGUGUCGCGCUCGUCAGUAAUAAGUGCACUUCCAUAUGCUGUCUCCUCCUCCAUGGUAUCGCUAUGGUUUCUGGUGUCCGGCGAGAUCUGCAUGUGAUGGUUCACUGCUCCUCCGCCUGUGCCAUAUGCGCGAGUCCCACCAACUGAAGCAACCUGUCCGCGUUGUUUUUUAUUUUUAUUUUUGAAUUAAUCCUGUUCGUGUUUUGAUGUCUGGUUUCAGCAUUCCGCUCAGCACCUUCACAUCGCCAACAUUACCUGCGGAAGAGCGGA
rnacentral:lncRNA from 1 species